rnacentral:rRNA from 1 species
ACUCCUACGGGAGGCAGCAGUGGGGAAUAUUGGACAAUGGGGGGAACCCUGAUCCAGCCAUGCCGCGUGUGUGAAGAAGGCCUUAUGGUUGUAAAGCACUUUAAGCGAGGAGGAGGCUCUUUUGGUUAAUACCCAAGAUGAGUGGACGUUACUCGCAGAAUAAGCACCGGCUAACUCUGUGCCAGCAGCCGCGGUAAUACAGAGGGUGCGAGCGUUAAUCGGAUUUACUGGGCGUAAAGCGUGCGUAGGCGGCUUUUUAAGUCGGAUGUGAAAUCCCCGAGCUUAACUUGGGAAUUGCAUUCGAUACUGGGGAGCUAGAGUAUGGGAGAGGAUGGUAGAAUUCCAGGUGUAGCGGUGAAAUGCGUAGAGAUCUGGAGGAAUACCGAUGGCGAAGGCAGCCAUCUGGCCUAAUACUGACGCUGAGGUACGAAAGCAUGGGGAGCAAACAGGAUUAGAUACCCUGGUAGGCGUAGU